GAUCCCAUCAGAACUCCGAAGUUAAGCGUGCUUGGGCGAGAGUAGUACUAGGAUGGGUGACCCCCUGGGAAGUCCUCGUGUUGCAUCCCU
rnacentral:rRNA from 1 species